GGGGUGUAGGGGUGUAGGGAUGUAGGGACUGGGCUGUAGGGGUGUAGGGAUGUAGGGAUGUAGGGGUGUAGGGGUGUAGGGAUGUAGGGACUGGGGUGUAGGGGUGUAGGGAUGGGGGGAUGUAGGGGUAUAGGGACUGGGAUGUAGGGGUGUAGGGGUGUAGGGAUGUAGGGAUGUAGGGGUGUAGGGAUGUAGGGAUGUAGGGGUGUAGGGACUGGGAUGUAGGGGUGUAGGGGUGUAGGGAUGUAGGGACUGGGAUGUAGGGGUGUAGGGGUGUAGGGACUGGGAUGUAGGGAUGUAGGGGUGUAGGGACUGGGAUGUAGGGAUGUAGGGGUGUAGGGAUGUAGGGAUGUAGGGACUGGGAUGUAGGGGUGUAGGGACUGGGAUGUAGGGAUGUAGGGGUGUAGGGAUGUAGGGAUGUAGGGGUGUAGGGAUGUAGAGAUGUAGGGAUGUAGGGGUGUAGGGAUGUAGGGAUGUAGGGACUGGGAUGUAGAGAUGUAGGGAUGUAGGGACUGGGAUGUAGAGAUGUAGGGAUGUAGGGGUGUAGGGAUUUAGGGAUGUAGGGACUGGGAUGUAGGGGUGUAGGGACUGGGAUGUAGGGAUGUAGGGGUGUAGAGAUGUAGGGAUGUAGGGGUGUAGGGGUGUAGGGAUGUAGGGAUGUAGGGGUGUAGGGGUGUAGGGAUGUAGGGAUGUAGGGGUGUAGGGGUGUAGGGGUGUAGGGAUGUAGGGAUGCAGGGAUGUAGGGGUGUAGGGAUGUAGGGAUGUAGGGGUGUAGGGAUGUAGGGGUGUAGGGAUGUAGGGAUGUAGGGGUGUAGGGAUGUAGGGAUGUAGGGGUGUAGGGG
ensembl:lncRNA